AUUGAACGCUGGCGGCAUGCCUUACACAUGCAAGUCGAACGGCAGCAUGAUCUAGCUUGCUAGAUUGAUGGCGAGUGGCGAACGGGUGAGUAAUACAUCGGAACGUGCCCUGUAGUGGGGGGUAACUAGUCGAAAGAUUAGUUAAUACCGCAUACGACCUGAGGGUGAAAGUGGGGGACCGCAAGGCCUCAUGCUAUAGGAGCGGCUGAUGUCUGAUUAGCUAGUUGGUGAGGUAAAGGCUCACCACGGCGACGAUCAGUAGCUGGUCUGAGGGGACGAUCAGCCACACUGGGACUGAGACACGGCCCAGACUCCGACGGGAGGCAGCAGUGGGGAAUUUUGGACAAUGGGGGCAACCCUGAUCCAGCAAUGCCGCGUGUGUGAAGAAGGCCUUCGGGUUGUAAAGCACUUUUGUCCGGAAAGAAAUCGCACUUACUAAUAUUAGGUGUGGAUGACGGUACCGGAAGAAUAAGGACCGGCUAACUACGUGCCAGCAGCCGCGGUAACAC
rnacentral:rRNA from 1 species